rnacentral:rRNA from 1 species
UACGGAGGGUGCAAGCGUUAUCCGGAUUCACUGGGUUUAAAGGGUGUGUAGGCGGGUAUUUAAGUCCGUGGUGAAAUCUCCAGGCUCAACCUGGAAACUGCCAUUGAUACUAUUUACCUUGAAUUCUGUUGAGGUGGGCGGAAUACAUCAUGUAGCGGUGAAAUGCUUAGAUAUGAUGUAGAACACCAAUUGCGAAGGCAGCUCACUAAGCAGACAUUGACGCUGAGGCACGAAAGCGUGGGGAUCAAACAGG